UACCAGCACCCCGAGUGGUCGGGACGAUUAUUGGGCCUAAAGCAUCCGUAGCCGGUCCUGCAAGUCUUCCGUUAAAUCCAGCUGCUUAACAGAUGGGCUGCGGAGGAUACUAUAAGACUAGGAGGCAGGAGAGGCAAGCGGUACUCAGUGGGUAGGGGUAAAAUCCGUUGAUCCAUUGAAGACCACCAGUGGCGAAGGCGGCUUGCCAGAAUGCGCUCGACGGUGAGGGAUGAAAGCUGGGGGGAGCAAACCGG
rnacentral:rRNA from 1 species